rnacentral:misc_RNA from 1 species
CUAGGCCAUCCCCCUGUCUGAGCUGCAAAGUUGAAGACUUGCCACUAUCACCGUGUGAUCUGUCUUGUUCCGCACACUCCUCAUCAACAAAUACUUCAAUAAUGCAGGUGCUUGGAGUCGCUCCACCAGCUCUAGGCCCUGGUCUUUGUGGAAUCUUGUGAGUUGUCCACUUGGCAGGUUUUGCAUUAUUUUCUUUGUUUCUCUCAGCUCGAGCUCCAAGAUUGUUCCAAGGAUUGAAAUCUGUUUUUGACUUGCCAGAUUGAUGUCCCAGCAAAAUAUCAGUAUUUGAGUCCUUAUAAAUAGAAAGGGGGGUCUUUUGAGCCCUGUCUAGAUUCAAUCUGUUCCUGGAAAUAUCUGAAUUCUCCAUAUUGUGCCUCCUGUUUUCUGCGCUGGCCAACACAGUUCCAAAGCUUCGGACUGGCAAGUUAUUUUCUCCAGAGGCAUCCUCCACAACUUUUGGUCUUCUCAUUGAUCUCAUGAGAAAUUUCUUGUAGGCGUCCUUCAAUUUUUCUAUUGGUUGAGCCUCCCUAGAUAUCCCAAGAUCAAAUAUGUCAUUUGCAGCCUUCAUCUUAGACUUGGACUCCAUAUGUAAAGCAUAUGCAACAUAGAAUGCAGAAUGUGACUUUCCAAUUUCAUUUGCGUCAAGAAAAUUGUAAAUGACUUCCGCAUCAGCACAGUUUUCAGCAUAUUCCAGCCACACUUUGAGGUAGCGAAGAUCGUCCUUGUAGAGAUCUGAAUGCCAAAAGGCACGCACACAUUGCUCAUAUAUUAAUAUCAGUCCUGAGCAAUCUCCACCAGGCGGAAAUGACUCCUGAACCCAUU